rnacentral:lncRNA from 1 species
UACUUGGGCAUAUCCUUCGGCCCGAGCCAGCAAAUCAGCAAAGUCCUUGAGAUACUUCUUGUUGCGGCCAAUCCCCUCAUCGUCCGAUCGUCGGGGUCACGCAUCUGCAAGAAAAGUCCUCACUGACCGAAGAUGCCUCUGGCGGGAAUCCUCCGAUGGUUAAGUCAGAGAGGAGACUAAGCAACAGUGAAAAAUCAGGGGCUCAGUGGGG